CGUCUUGUUUUUAGAUGAAGUUCUUUCCUUUACUACGAUAGGCCUCAAGGAGGUCCAAAUCUCCACUUGCAGAUUCUGCAGAAGGAGUGUUUCAAACCUGAACUGUCAGAGAAAGGUUCAACACUGUGAGUUGAAUGCAAGCAUCACGAAGAAGGUUCUGAGAAUGCUUCUGUUUAUGUAGGGGACUUUUCUCCCGUAUCCAACGAAAUCCUCAGAGCGGUCCAAAUCUCCACUUGCAGAUUCUACACAAAGUGUGUUUGGAAACUGCUCCACCCAAAGGUAUGUUCAGCUCUGUGAGUUGAACUCAAUGGUCACAAAGCGUUUCCUGGGAAUGCUCCUGUCUCGCUUUCAUGUGCAGUUAUAUCCUCUACUGCCAUAGGCCUCAAAGCGGUCCAAAUCUCCCCUUUCAGAUUCUACCAAAAGUGUGUUUCCAAACGGCCCCAUCAAAGGGGAUGUUCAACUCGGUGACUUGAAUGCAAUCAUCAGAAAGCAGCUUCUGAGAAUGCUUCCAUGUAGGUUUGAUGAGAAGAUACUUCCUUUUCCACCCGAGGCCUCGAAGCCCUCCAAAUGUCCCCUUGCAGAUGCUAGAAAGAGGGGGUUUCAAAGCUGCUCUAUCAAAAGGAAAGUACAACUCUGUGAGGUGAAUGCAAACAUCACAAGGAAGUUCCUGAGCAUGCUUCCGUUUAGCUUUUACGGGAAGAUUAUCCCUUUUCCAUCGAAAUGUUCAAAGAGGUCCACAUAUCCGCUUGCAGAUUCCACUGAAAGAGUGUUUCCAAACUGCUGCAUCAAAAGGAAUCCUCAGCUCCGUGAGUUGAAUGCAAUCAUCACCAAGAAGUUUCUGACAAUGCUUCUCUCUAGUUUUUAUGUGAAGAUAUUUCCUUUUCCACUGCAGGCCUGAAAGCGCUCCAAAUGUCCACUUGGAGGCUCUACGAAAAGAAUGUUUCAAAACUGCUCUACGAAAAGCAAUGUUAUACUCUGGGAGUUGAACACAAGCCUCACAAAGGAGUUUCUGAGAAUGCUUCUGUUUACUUUUUACGUGAGGAUAUUCCCGUUUCCAAAGAAGUCUUCACAGAGUUCCACCUACCCAUUUGCAGUUGCUAGGAAAAGAGAGUCUCAAAACUGCUCCAUCAAAAGGAAUGUUCAACUCUGUGAGUUGCAUGCAAUCAUCACAGAGAAGUUUCUGAGAAGGCUUCUGUCUAGAUUUUAUUUGAAGAUAUGGCCGUUUCGAACGAAGGCCACAAAGUGC
rnacentral:lncRNA from 1 species